UACGUAGGCAGCAAGCGUUGUUCGGAGUUACUGGGCGUAAAGAGUGCGUAGGCGGUUCGCCAAGUCUGGUGUGAAAUCUCCCGGCUUAACCGGGAGGGUGCGCCGGAAACUGGCGGGCUCGAGUGUGGGAGAGGAAAGCGGAAUUCCUGGUGUAGCGGUGAAAUGCGUAGAUAUCAGGAGGAACACCGGUGGUGUAGACGGCUUUCUGGACCACUACUGACGCUGAGGCACGAAAGCGUGGGGAG
rnacentral:rRNA from 1 species